UUAGUUAUAACGACAAUUGCCUAGCACAUCUAGUCAAAAAUAUUGGAGGCAAACCAUCUGGACCUGGGCCUUUAUUUAAGUCUAGUUUUUUUAACUUAUGCAAUAUUUCUGACUCAGGUAUGAUCAGAGUGUUUAACG
rnacentral:pre_miRNA from 1 species